AAUAAACCAGGACCCUCAGGAGUGAAGAAGCUCUCUGAUCUACUGGAGGAUCCACACUGUAAACUGGAGAAACUACAAAUCUGAAACAGUCUGACGUGUCCUGGAGUUUCUCACAGAGAGGAAUGAAGAUCCUUCACAUCCACAUCCAGGAGACACCUGACAAGAUUCUUCCCCAACGCUGGAUCUCUAGUGAACAAGCUCUCCACAUCAACCACACCCUCUACACACCCUGUUCCCCUUAACCACACACA